GAUGAAGAACGUAGCGAAAUGCGAUAAGUAGUGUGAAUUGCAGAAUUCAGUGAAUCAUCGAAUCUUUGAACGCACAUUGCGCCCCUUGGUAUUCCAUGGGGCAUGCCUGUUCGAGCGUCAUUUGUACCCUCAAGCUUUGCUUGGUGUUGGGCGUCUUGUCGUAUUACGACUCGCCUUAAAUACAUUGGCAGCCGGCACUUUGGCCUAGGAGCGCAGCACAUUUUGCGAUCGUAGCCCGUUGUACUGGCGUCCAUCAAGAACAUUUACCACGUUUGACCUCGGAUCAGGUAGGGAUACCCGCUGAACUUAAGCAUAUCAUAGCGGAGGA
rnacentral:misc_RNA from 1 species